CAAAACUUUCAACAACGGAUCUCUUGGUUCUGGCAUCGAUGAAGAACGCAGCGAAAUGCGAUAAGUAAUGUGAAUUGCAGAAUUCAGUGAAUCAUCGAAUCUUUGAACGCACAUUGCGCCCCCUGGUAUUCCGGGGGGCAUGCCUGUUCGAGCGUCA
rnacentral:rRNA from 3 species